AGGGAACACAGACACAGAGACAGUACUGGGGAGACAAGUGACCGGGAAUACAGACUACAACAACUGAGGCAUAGAUAGGCUAUAUUCAGAGGGUGUGCUAUGGGGAAAUGAUACACUGUUGCUCCAGUGGCUACACCUGUGACCUCCAUCACCAGGUCCUGUUACAAAUCAGGAGAGCUCCGCUGGGACACUGGCGUGCCCUCUUCAGGAAGAGAUGUCCUUCAAUUCGCUUGUGAUGCUGAGCCAAGUCUUCAAAAGGGGGUCCACAGACGUAGCAGCCUCCCCCAUCCAUGAUAAAAACCUUCCCUCUGUUGGCCUGUGGUCUUCUGCCCCAAUCUGCAUGUAUAGUCGAUUCUACUCUGUUUUUCCACCUUACAGAAGUUGUGGAGGCCAGCUGUCCUCAUAAUUUAGGUCUGCAUCAAUUACAUUUGGUUAAGUGAAAGAUGGAAGUAGCAAAUCAGUUGUCACAGGGGUUCAGUAAAGUGAAUCUGAUAUUUCUUAGAAAAUGACUUUGCACUAUUAAAAACUUAUGCAUAAAGAUCUUAGCCAUUUUCCAUCCUCAGAACUGUAAUAAGUUGGUAUGUUAGGUUUGUAUGUGUGCUUGCAGACCAGAUGAAGUAGCAUCAAAAGUCGCUUUUCCACCACAUGCAGUGG